GCCAGUGUAGCGUAGUGGUUUGAGUGUCGGACGAUGACUCUGGAGACCAGGGUUUGAAUCUCUGCCUGGCC